GGAGAUGGCUUGGUGGUAGAGCAUCUGCUUUGCAUGUAGAAGGUCCCCGGUUCAAUCCCCAGUGUCUCCU